CUCCUGGCUUCCUCCCGUCUUCUGUUUGCAAUUGGUCAACAUCCACCUAGCGGGGAGUUAACUCCUCCGGCAUAUACCCUCAUUGUCUUAUCCGGCCCCUUCUGAGCCACUCAAGAUACAGAAGUGACAAGAGGAGGCAUAAAUGCUGGGCGCGCAGUUGGCUGGGGACAGUAAAGGGGAAGGUGACUGGUCAGCUCCCUGCAGCAGAAGCGUGUGGGUCCAAAGGGAAUCUGCUGGCAGCUGAAUGUAGAAAGUAGCUGUGUGUCCAGGAAGCAGACCAGAGAGUCUAAGAGGUCACGUUAAACGCAUCAGAAAUACUGUUGGAAAACAGUACCUGGAUCAUAAAGAGAUCUUGGGAGAGAAUAAGGAUGGACUCUCUGGGGGCAAACUAUGGACCCCUGGGUCCCUGAAAGAGCAGAGGAAACCAGAGCCCUCAUCAUGGAUUACAUCGGUGGCCUUUGGCCAAGUACGUUGUGCGGAAACCCCCCAAGAGCAUGGCUGUGUCGUCGGUGUGCCUCUCAGCUGCCCUAACUUGGAUCUCCCUUAACUUCCUCUGAUUCCCUCUCAAGGCCCAGGAUCCCCGAUGGCUGAUCUAAUGCCCUCAACAUCACAGAGGCUUAAUUCAGUGUCCUCAGCUUGCAGAGUCUGCACGGUGUUCUAAGACAGCCGCCCGAGCGCCAGCUCCGAGCCUGCCCAGAUUCUGGAGAAGUGGGAGGGGUCCCUGCGUUGUCCUCACUGUACCAAGAAGAAAUCCGAACCCACCCUGUGUCAUUGUCAUGCAUAACAGGGAAGAGAGGAAAGAAAACUGUUCUGAUUGAGAGACGAUUAGAUAGGAUGUUUUGGAGACAGUGCUGUGAGUGCAUUUUCGGAGAGAGUUUUGUUUUGAUGUUUUCAAAGCCUUCCUUGAAGCCGGUCAAGACACAGAGCUAUUUUCAUCCUGAAUGUAUGUAAAGCAACAAUGGGCCCUCAUGCUCCGUGAAUAGACAAUUACUAGAAAGUGACCCAACGUUGUCCUUCUGUCUGCAAGCGAGCGUCCUCUGCCCUGGGAAGGGCACAUGCUCUCAGGGAGGAGAGGCACGUGGUUUGGGGACGUGGUUAGGAUAACGAACAGGCCUGGGUACUGAAGAGGCUGAUCUCUCUGCAUUUUUAACGACGCCUGGAUUCGUUCGAGGACAGGCCGUCUAAUCUUCAAUGAAUGGCCUGGUGGAAAGAGCUCCCACAGAAGGACUGGGAGGCGAGCAAGGUCAAUUUUCCACUGUCCUGAAGGUGGGAUCUUACUCCUGUUGUGUCUUAGAUGUAAGAGAUGUUUUUCUUUCCCUUGCUCAUGCCGGGGGCCUGUCCUCACAUCCGUUCUGCAGCACCCCUCCAAGAUGCUGUCCGGUCCUGCGUCUGUACCACCGCCCAAUCCCCGACUUCCCACCACCAAAAGCCCCAGUAGAGUCACCUGCUUCCUGUCUCUUCAGUCCUGCUUUCUGAAUGUUAACGAUGGGUGGGGUCACCGUGCCCACCUUAUUCCUCCCAGAUAACCUUUCGCACAGACUUAGAUUCACGCUCUGCAUUUACUGGCCCAAGUCCAGAGAGUGACUCAAGCAUUAGAAUCCCAGGCAUUUAUACAAGCUGGGAGCAGAAGGGAUGGAGGUGAUUAUCGGCAUGGCAUUGAGAGGAAGAAAGAAGAGCUUUUAAUGAGGACAUUGAGAGAAGAGAAACAUGAAGGUAGGAAAAGAAAACUAAGGUACUGAGGUGAAGCCAGAAAUGCAAUGAGAAGACAGAGCAUGCGCUCAGGGCCGGCUGCUAAAUCCUCAGAGGAUCUUCACAAAGGGGCUUAACAGCAAGACCGGGGGGAAGAACAAUCCAUGGGGGCUCCCAGGCAGCGCUGUGACACCUCCCAAGGAACGGCAGUGAAUGGAAGCCUACAGCUGCUGGCACGUUCUCCAUGCAAAUUCCACUGCUCCGCCAUCACAGGGCGGACAGGCCGGAGGCAUGUGAGCUGUGGUGAUGCGGGAUGAGAGGGGAGCACAGGUGCCGUCGAAUGGGAACAGGGACAGGCACUCAGAGGACCCCAGGAGCACAUCAAAGGCAAUUUAAGGUACAUUCGCCUACCAACAACCAGCCCUGGACGUGUGGGUCUAAGAGACCGGAAGAAGAGAAGCGGAGUUUAAAUACAUUACUCAGACAAUCAGAAUCCCAUCAUCACAUCACAGAAGGUCAGAAACCAUCUGAAUUAUGUGGUCCAAACUCCUUCUUUAUUUAAUAGAUAGAUGAUAGAUAGAUAGAUAGAUAGAUAGAUAGAUAGAUAGAUAGAUAUAGGUAGGUAGAUAGAUAGAUGAUAAACAAUGAUACUUGGAAGGUAAGAUGAGAUUUUCCCAAUGCCAUCCACUAGAAAGAUGCAGAGAGGAAGCAACCUAAGUGUCCAUCAACAAAUGAAUGGAUAAAGAAGAUAUGGUACAUAUACACAAUGGAAUAUUACUCAGCCUUAAAAAAGAAUGAAAUAAUGCCAUUUACAGCAACACAGAUGGACAUAGAGAUUAUCAUAUUAAGUGAAGUAAGUCAGAGAAAGACAAAUAUCAUAUGAUAUCACUUAGAUGUGGAAUCUGAAAAAAAAUCCCGAUACAAAUGAACUUAUUUACAAAACAGAAAUAGACUCACAGACUUUGAAAACAAGCUUAUGUUUACCAAAGGGGAAACAUGGGGUGGGGCGGAUAAAUUAGGAGUUUGGGAUUAACAUAUACACACUACUAUAUAUAAAGUAGAUAACCAACAAGGACCUACUAUAGAGCACAGGGAACUCUACUCAAUAUUCUGUAAUAACUUAUAAGGGAAAGAAUCUGAGAAGGAAUGGAUAUAUGUAUAACUGAUUCACUUUGCUGUACACCUGAAACUAACACAACAUUGAAAAUCAGGUAUACUCCAAUAUAAAAUAAAAAUUAAAUUAAAAAAGAAAGAAAGAAAAAAAAAGAUGCAGAGAAGAAUAUAGAUCUCUUGAUAUCCAGCUCAUUACAGCCCCACUUCAGAACUUCCUUCCAUCUUCUUACAUGCUAUGUUUUGGACAAUUUAAAGUCAAUCAAGACCCUGAAAAUUAUUACCAUUAGGAUAAAGCCCUACGUAAUACCCUCCCCUAGUCAAAUGAGGCCUCA